UACAGAGGUCCCGAGCGUUGUUCGGAUUUAUUAGGCGUAAAGGGUGCGUAGGCGGCGGAGUAAGUUGGGUGUGAAAUCCCGAGGCUCAACCUCGGGUCUGCAGUCGAUACGGGCAGACUAGAGGUAUGCAGGGGAGAACGGAAUUCCUGGUGUAGCGGUGAAAUGCGCAGAUAUCAGGAGGAACACCGGUGGCGAAGGCGGUUCUCUGGGCAUGACCUGACGCUGAGGAGCGAAAGUGUGGGGAGCGAACAGG
rnacentral:rRNA from 1 species